UAAAGGGAGGAGCCUGAGGAACCCAGGGUCCUCUUACUGAAUCAUGCAGAUUUGGGAGUGAAGGAGCAGCCCAUACCCGAUCCACUGUCACUUUCUCUUUGCAGAUUUCUUCGCUCUUCUAAAGGACGCACACUUUGUUUGCCUUAUUGCGCAGGGCCUUACUCUCAGGACUGAAGCAUGGAUGACGAUUUUGAACAGCGCAGGGAGCUCAGGAGACAGAAACGGGAGGAGAUGCGCCUAGAAGCGGAGAGGAUGGCAUAUCGUCGGAACGAGGAGGAUGAGGAAGAGGUGGCUCGUGAGCGCCGGCGAAGAGCACGACAGGAAAGACUGCGCAGUAAAGAGAGCGAGGAGUCGCCCUACCAACCUGAGAGCACAGAGCUCAACAACAGCCACAGCAUGACAGUGUCAGAGAGUAUCUCAUCCUCAGUUGUGACCUCCAACUGGGCGGGUGAGGGAGAUGAUGAAGAACAAGCCCUGCUUGAUCGCCUGGCAAAGAGAGAGGAACGCCGACAGAAGAGAAUGAAAGAGGCACUGGACAGGCAGAGAGAUGAAGAGACCAGCCACAUCUCCCACCACAGUCUGGAGGACAGCAGCAUUGGUCUGCGGCGCGGCAGGAGCUACGAAGCAGAGGAGGAACACAACAGCAAGGAGGACGAGAAAGAGGAGGUGAAACAGGUUGAAGAGGAGGAGGCCCUUACAAGGGAUGAGAGAGAGGAGGAGGUGGUGGAGGAGAAGCCACGGAAAUCUUACUGGAGAGAACAGGAAUCCAUUGAGAACAUUUCUAAAAUACCAGACGAGGACAGUAGUGAGCAGGACCAUGUGCCUUCUUCCGAAGUAAAUGAGGUCAUUUUAAACAAAGACGCUGAUGGUUCUGCAGUUGUAUCAGAGACAGAUGCGGAAAAUGGCACCACAGUGCUCACUGAAGGUGUACAGGAGGAAAAGAGUGAGACAGAGGAAUUGACAGAGAAUGGAUUGGAUGAAAUGAGGGUUGCAGAAAACUGUGAGAAAAAGACGAAAGAUUUUUCAGAAAUUGAUGAGGCUUUGAUUGAAGAUGAAGAUGUGAUGAGGAAGAAUAAACAGCCAAAUGGAGGUGUGUGUGAUGACAGCCCUCCCAAACACAAGAAAGCUGAGAGGACUUUCAGUCGAAGCAGCCUGCGUUCUACUGAAGCGCCGGAGGCAGAUGAUGCAGAUGGUGAAGAUGCCCGCUUGGAGGCCGAAAGAAAGCUGGAGGAGCUGAAGAGACGGAGGGACGAAAUGGAGAGCGAGGAGUUUGAGAGGAUGAGGCUGAAACAGCAGGAGGCCGAGGCAGAGCUGGAGGAGCUGAGGAGGAAGAGGGAAGAGAGGAGGAAGGUGUUGGAAGAGGAGGAGCAAUGGAGGAAACAGGAGGAGGCUGAGAGGAAAGCCAGAGAGGAGGAGGAAAAGAGGAGAAUGAAGGAAGAGAUAGAGAAGAGGAGAGCGGAGGCCGCCGAGAGGAGACAGAAGGUGGAGGAGUCAGUGGACGGAGAGGCCAGGAAGCCCUUUAAGUGUGUCAGUCCCAGAGGAUCGUCCCUGAAGAUUGGUGAAAGAGCAGAAUUUCUCAACAGGUCGGCACAGAGAAGUUCUGUGAAGGCAUCUCACACUCCUGUGGUGUCCAAGAUUGAUAACCGAUUAGAGCAGUACACCACUGCAGUGCAGGGCCAAAAUGAGGUCAGAUCUCCCCGAUCAGCUGCCAUAGAUCUUCCCACGGUGACGGACGGUAUUCGUAACAUCAAGAGCAUGUGGGAGAAAGGGAAUGUCUUCAGCUCCGGUGGGAGUCUGGCAUCCACCAACAAGGAUGCAGCUGGAAUAAAGGUGGGUGUGGCCGGCCGCAUCAAUGAUUGGUUGAAUAAAACUCCAGAGAUGGGCAAAACGUCAGGAGGAAGACCUGCGAUUUCCCUUUGUUUCCUGGUAGUCUUCUUUUCCCCUGGGCUUCUUUCCUCUGCCCUCUCUCCUGCUUUCUGUCUCUCUGCUGAAGAUCAGGACCUGAAACCGGGCGACGUGACCAGCAAACGCAGUCUAUGGGAGAACAAAGGUUCCUCUGCUACCAGGCCGUCCCCUUGCUAAUUGUCGACAGAUCUGACUACCUUGAGGAGAGCAUCUAUCUCACUCUCGUUCACUGCACUGAGAACAGGUGGUUGUUAGCAAGAGGGAAGUGCUAUCCAGAGCUACUGUUUGUAGCUGAAGUCACCAAAUGUGAAGGCUAGGGUAUACUUUGUUUUUUCGUGUGCUGUUCCGUCUCGCACACUGUCGAGCGCACAGCCUUUUUAAAGUAUAAUAUUUUGACCGCAAGCCCUUAUGGAAGUUUUAAAUGCAUGCAUACUACGACUGCUUUGUGAUACUCUUUUAGCACAGUCAACAGCUGGCACAUGCGCAUGCGCCAACAACACGCAAGGAUGCAGCAUGUCUAGAAAAACUAGGCUGCACAUGGACUGUCCAUGCGGACUGUGUUGAUGACAAAAUUUGCAUCACACGCACUGUGCGCUAGAUGUACCAGCACAUGGAAAACCAAAGUAUACUUUGACCUUAACUCCUUCAUCUUUAAUUGCCCUUUUGUGAAGCUCCGCCCCAAUUGGUUAUUUUUCUAGCUUUUUUAAUAACGUCCCAUAGGAACGAACUGGAGAUUUACGUGAUGAAAUGGAGGUAAAAUUCAUUUCAGUAAAAUGUUCUUGUAAAUUGGUGAAAAUUGAAUGGGUAUUAUACAUACAUUGAUUUAAUGAAAUGUGACAUCGCAAAACAUCUUUUAUCUUGUCGUUUUUCUAUAAAGAAACUGUUAAAUUAUGCAGUAGCGUGAUUACAUACUGCAAAGACUGUGAAUCAGAAUGGAGGCAAACGCUUAUCACAGUCAACUGAAAAGAACAAAGCCCAUUUGAUAGCGAUUACAAGUUAUAACAUUGGUGUAAGUGAAUGGAACCGUAUUCACUACAAUACUGUACACAUUGAGUUACAUUUUUUACCUUAAAGCAAAUGUAGGUGUCCUUACUGAUGUAGCAUGUCAUUCUCAAGAUUUUUUUUUUAAGAUUUGGAAUAGGUAAAAAAAAAAAUCCUUUUUGGGUACAUUGUGUCAUUAUUAUAAGAGCCCCUGGAACAACAUUUACCAUACCAAUUUCUGUCUAAUAGAGUGCAACAUUCUGGUUCCAGAAGUAAAAAUCCCAUUCAUUUUUUUCAUAGACGAAUUGAUUUUUAAUACAAACUUAUGAGCCUUUCAAAGACAGACCUGAAUGUUUUGCUAUAAAAUUUAAAUAUAUUGUUUACAUCUAUAUCAACAGCUUUAAAUCAAUUGUUCAAUAUUUUUCAAUCGUUUUUAAUUUGAUUACAUCAUUUGCAAUGCUUCAUGAGAUUGUAGUUCAUUCCCUUAUUAAAGACACUAAGUACACAGUCCUGUACCUUUGUUUUUUGUCAGAUUUUCAAAUAAUUUUGCUUCAAAUCGAAGUUUGUAUUUGUUGUGAUUCACCUCAGAGCUGGUUGGUUUCUCAUGGCUUAGAACUGUUCUAUAAAGGAUCUUAAGAAAUGUCUAUGGAAGAAAUUAAUGGGAAAAAUGCUUCCAAAACCGAGAUGGCCAAAAAAGUGGGUGGGCACUGUUGCGCUUUAAUCCAUUUCGAACUAUCCAAACAAGCAGUACUUCAAUAGACUUGCAUUAGAAAAUUUGAUAAUAUGGCGGAUGGCAUUUGCUAAGGUAUAACUGGUCAGUAACAUAUUAAGCGGGGCUUAGCGAAUAGUCAAUUUUAGUUUCCCUCUUUCUCUCACUCUUUUUUCCUCACACAUGGGUUUAAAACCCAUCACCCCUUUACAAAGGACUUUGCCCAUUGUGAGAAGAUCUGUUUUAACAUAUGGAAGUUGCACUUGGAACUAGCUGACCAAACAUGGGCCACUGUCCACACACACACACAAACACUCACACCUCACAAAUAGAAACCAGUUCCAACGCUCGCAUGAGUUGAUCCUAUCAUCUGAACCUGAAAAGGCGUUCCCACAGGUCCUUGCCUUCUGUUAAGGCACAUUUGUAUAUGUGGAUGAUGUUGCACAGAUCACACAGAUAAUAACUGUAUUCAUUCGUAGCUCUAUGUUUGGCCAUGCCAAGGGGAACGGGCACAAUAGAAGCUAUGGCUAGACUGAGAGGAAGACGUCAAGAUCAGGCCAAGGCCGUGGUAGGCCACAGACUGCAGUUUUGGCCCAGAGCAUUUAAAGGACUGUUAAAUAGUGACGUAAAAGCCUAAUAAAUGAAAAUAUGUGGUCAUAACCGCACUGAUGUUACCAAAACCAGCUGAGAUAAUAGGUCAGGCCUGGCAAGAAUGAAGCUUCACUCAUAUGUGAAUUUGGAAAAAGAGCACUGUAUGAAGCCACGCUAAGCAUGUUCCUGUCAUUGUACACGCAGCAUGUCGGCCACUAGCUCUUUCACUAAUGACUUUUUGGAGCACAAAUGCACACAAUAUGAGAAAAAAUAUAUGUAAAAAGGAAAUGUAGCAUGAAAUAUGAAGACAUAAGUGGAAUACCAGGAGGUUGGGCUGGAAACCCUGCUGAAGAAAAAAAAAACAGCCAAAGGGGAUUUGCUGGUCUUAGCUGGUUUAAGUUGGUUUAAAGUGCCUAAAUGUCUUUUCAAAUGUUAAACCAGCCAAUGGACAAACUAAGAACAGCAAACCGGGCUGUUUUUAGAUGUUGGUUUCAGCAGGGAUGGGUUUUGCAAAAUAGUUAAGCAAUGCUAAUUAACAUGUUAACGUUUAUUUUUAAUAAUCUUUUUCUUUCACACACUCUCUCUCUCUCUCUCUCUUCUUUCUUCCUUUCUUUACAUUUUUCUCUUUGAUUUAUACCUCUCCCAGGUGACAAACAGAGGAGAGACCAAAUCCGUCACCAAUGGAAUGGGCCAUUAACCUUUCAAAGAUGCCACAGAGGCAGGGACCAAGAGAAUGCACAACAUUCCUUUUUUAAACUUUUAUAAAUACCAAAAAAAAAUAAAAAAUAAAAAAUAAAAAAAAUACAAGCAUUUUAUACUGUCCAGGAAGACCUAUGUCAGUAGAUACAGUAUAAAAUAUAUAUUUGAUAUAUGUUAUCACUGUAUUCACAGGACACCAUCUUGCAUCAUUAAUGUAGUGCCUUUGCAUGGAACUUUCUUUUGCCUGAAAUCUAGGCAUUGAAAACUGCAGCCUGAUUGGAAAAUUGGUCAUAAAUGAUCCAGCUUUAACUUGUUUAGAAUAACAUAAAAGCAGCCAAUUCCAAACAUUCCAACAUUCCAUGAAUAGGAGGACGAGGAGUCACAUUCCGAAUUGUCUUUUUGUCAAAUCACAAGUCAUUUUACUCAUGUCAGAAAGGUUUCACCUUUUCACCCUUUAAUUUAUAACUUCAGCAAAGCUUCACAUCAUAUUUCAUGCUCACCGAUUCCAAACAAGAUAUGAGCACCCGUAGAGUAGCUAUAUUUUGUACUUUGUCAUAACGACACUUUUUUAAAAAUUGUCUUAAUAAUAUAUGUUAGCACAUAGUCUAAGUUUUUGUAAUUAACUUUAUAUUUUACCGCUUAAAACGAGACAUUUUGCUCGCUUUUGCUCUCAAUAUUGUUUUAUAUCAAAACAAGUUUUAAAGCAGCAGAAGGCCAUUGUAGUCUUUCCGUUAUCAUUAUUAUUACAUUAUCUUUGGCUAUUUUACUCUCAGAUACACUGGUCUAAAGUUGUUUGUGACCACCUUUCUAUAAGUGUUAAUCACCAAGUGUCAUGUGGAAUAGUUUGUAUUGGUUAUAAAAGAGAGUAAAACUGUUUCUCUGAACUCUAAACAAAAGGAACAUGCACGUUUAUGCUUAAAUCAUAUAUUUGGUCCAUACUUUUCGCAAAUUUUGCAUGUAAUACACAGUCAGUGAAGACUUUGGUUGCUAUUCCAAGAACAAAGAUAAUGAGAAGUCAAAGUCAAAACCCAACCCAAGUUGACACCUUUGAUUUCAAUACAGGGCUAGUUAGCAAAACAUUAGUCAUUUGUUGGACUGUCAGUCAAAUGUUGUCACUUAAACGUUAAAUACAUAUAUCAUUUCUGAUGUAUUUGUCAGACAUAAAAAUAUCCAGUUCACUUUGUUUCAAAAUGUUCAAAGAUUCUGUAUUCUGCUAGUAUUUUUAACAAUCAAGUUUGUAUUUUUGUUUCAUUUUUAUAAACACUUAUGUAUUGUUUCAGAGUAACACUAUGCAAGUCGCACCACCUUUAAUUGCAUCUACCUUGUUAAUACAUUGACCAUUUGUAGCAAAUAGUUUCAUACGGAACAAAUGUUUCAUUGUGUUAUUGUCUCAGCUACCACAAUAAAGAGACCAAUGAAAAACUACAA